rnacentral:rRNA from 1 species
AACGAACGCUGGCGGCAGGCUUAACACAUGCAAGUCGAACGCCCCGCAAGGGGAGUGGCAGACGGGUGAGUAACGCGUGGGAAUCUACCUAGUUCUACGGAACAACUCAGGGAAACUUGAGCUAAUACCGGAUGAGCCCUUAGGGGGAAAGAUUUAUCGCCGAAAGAGCGGCCCGCGUUAGAUUAGCUAGUUGGUGAGGUAAAGGCCUACCAAGGCGACGAUCCAUAGCUGGUCUGAGAGGAUGAUCAGCCACAUUGGGACUGAGACACGGCCCAAACUCCUACGGGAGGCAGCAGUGGGGAAUAUUGGACAAUGGGCGCAAGCCUGAUCCAGCCAUGCCGCGUGAGUGAUGAAGGUCUUAGGAUUGUAAAGCUCUUUCACCGGUGAAGAUAAUGACGGUAACCGGAGAAGAAGCCCCGGCUAACUUCGUGCCAGCCGCCGCUGUAAAAC